UACGGAGGGUGCAAGCGUUAAUCGGAAUUACUGGGCGUAAAGCGUGCGCAGGCGGUUUUUUAAGUCUGAGGUGAAAUCCCCGGGCUUAACCUGGGAAUUGCGUUGGAGACUGCAAGGCUAGAGUCUGGCAGAGGGCGGUAGAAUUCCACGUGUAGCAGUGAAAUGCGUAGAGAUGUGGAGGAACACCGAUGGCGAAGGCAGCCCCCUGGGUCAAGACUGACGCUCAUGUACGAAAGCGUGGGGAGCAAACAGG
rnacentral:rRNA from 1 species